rnacentral:rRNA from 1 species
GAUGAACGCUAGCGGCAGGCUUAAUACAUGCAAGUCGUGGGGCAGCAUGUCCCGCAGCAAUGCGGGAUGAUGGCGACCGGCAAACGGGUGCGGAACACGUACACAACCUUCCUUUAAGUGGGGAAUAGCCCAGGGAACCUUGGAUUAAUACCCCGUAAUAUAUAGAAGCGGCAUCGCUUUUAUAUUAUAGCAGCAAUGCGCUUGAAGAUGGGUGUGCGGCUGAUUAGGUAGUUGGCGGGGUAAUGGCACACCAAGCCGACGAUCAGUAACUGGUGUGAGAGCACGACCAGUCACACGGGCACUGAGACACGGGCCCGACUCCUACGGGAGGCAGCAGUAAGGAAUAUUGGUCAAUGGACGCAAGUCUGAACCAGCCAUGCCGCGUGGAGGAUGAAGGUCCUCUGGAUUGUAAACUUCUUUUAUCUGGGAAGAAAUCCAUUUUUUCUAAAAUGGUUGACGGUACCAGAUGAAUAAGCACCGGCUAACUCCGUGCCAGCCGCCGCGGUAAAAC